UAGGGAAUAUUGCACAAUGGGGGAAACCCUGAUGCAGCGACGCCGCGUGAGUGAUGAAGGCCUUCGGGUCGUAAAGCUCUGUCGUAUGGGACUAACAAAAUGAAGGUACCAUGCAAGAAAGGAUCGGCUAACUUCGUGCCAGCAGCCGCGGUAAGACGAGGGAUCCUAGCGUUGUUCGGAAUUAUUGGGCGUAAAGCGGGUGUAGGCGGACUUAUAAGUCAGGUGUGAAAUCCCAGGGCUCAACCCUGGAAGUGCACUUGAUACUGCAAGUCUUGAGUGUGGUAGAGGCUAUUAGAAUUCCUGGUGUAGUGGUGAAAUACGUAGAUAUCAGGAGGAAUACCGGAGGCGAAGGCGGAUAGCUGGGCCAACACUGACGCUGAGACCCGAAAGCGUGGGGAUCAAACAGGAUUAGAUACCCCCGUAGUCCCUGAGCGGGCUGGCAAGGCGCAU
rnacentral:rRNA from 1 species